AAUCGAAGGUUCACUCCAACCCAAUGUGAACCAUACCAAACUGUUGCCUCGGCGGGGUCACGCCCCGGGUGCGUCGCAGCCCCGGAACCAGGCGCCCGCCGGAGGGACCAACCAAACUCUUUUCUGUAGUCCCCUCGCGGACGUUAUUUCUUACAGCUCUGAGCAAAAAUUCAAAAUGAAUCAAAACUUUCAACAACGGAUCUCUUGGUUCUGGCAUCGAUGAAGAACGCAGCGAAAUGCGAUAAGUAAUGUGAAUUGCAGAAUUCAGUGAAUCAUCGAAUCUUUGAACGCACAUUGCGCCCGCCAGUAUUCUGGCGGGCAUGCCUGUCCGAGCGUCAUUUCAACCCUCGAACCCCUCCGGGGGGUCGGCGUUGGGGACCUCGGGAGCCCCUAAGACGGGAUCCCGGCCCCGAAAUACAGUGGCGGUCUCGCCGCAGCCUCUCCUGCGCAGUAGUUUGCACAACUCGCACCGGGAGCGCGGCGCGUCCACGUCCGUAAAACACCCAACUUCUGAAAUGUUGACCUCGGAUCAGGUAGGAAUACCCGCUGAACUUAAGCAUAUCAAUAAGCGGAGGA
rnacentral:rRNA from 1 species